rnacentral:rRNA from 1 species
UCCAGACUCCUACGGGAGGCAGCAGUGAGGAAUAUUGGUCAAUGGGCGGAAGCCUGAACCAGCCAAGUCGCGUGAGGGACUAAGGCCCUGCGGGUCGUAAACCUCUUUUGCCGGGGAGCAGUGGUCCGGACGCGUCCGGACCGGGAGAGUACCCGGAGAAAAAGCAUCGGCUAACUCCGUGCCAGCAGCCGCGGUAAUACGGAGGAUGCGAGCGUUAUCCGGAUUUAUUGGGUUUAAAGGGAGCGUAGAUGGGUUGUUAAGUCAGUUGUGAAAGUUUGCGGCUCAACCGUAAAAUUGCAAUUGAUACUGGCAGUCUUGAGUACAGUUGAGGUAGGCGGAAUUCGUGGUGUAGCGGUGAAAUGCUUAGAUAUCACGAAGAACCCCGAUUGCGAAGGCAGCUUACUAAACUGUGACUGACAUUGAUGCUCGAAAGUGUGGGUAUCAAACAGGAUUAGAUACCCUAGUA